UUUUUUAUUGCUCCUCUUUCACAGGUCUCUCUCACGGUGGAAGUACGUGGAAAAGCUGGAAACUAUCUUAAGCAAACUAUAUCACUGGCUCAAUUAGAGAAGACGAGAGACUUCAGGCGAUGUCCACAGAAAAUUGCAGACCCUCCAGUCAUCAAGAAACUGAUUUUCUACAUUAUAGCCACUUGUAUCCUAGCAACUAUCUUUAUAGGACUUCUAAGGUUUAUCCUCGUCAUCCUCAAAAUCAUUUUAAUCAAGAUUGUUUUUCCGCUACUUGGAAUAUCUCUUCAAUCUGCCGCUGCGAGCACUGGCUCCCAACACGCCAAGCACAAAAACAAGGUCAUCAAAAGUGAAUAACCACAAACUACAGCGUGUUGUGUUCAUCUUCAGUAAUGUUUACCUGCUCAUCGGCCUAGUAUGACUGCCGUCCGUCCUAUGCGCCGCUGGGUGCGAUGGAGGAGGGGUCCUGCGGUUUAAUUUAAGACCCGAGAGGGCAACCAUCAAUUAUAUUUGUUAGAAUGAUCAGGCUACAGUUGAAAUUCCAUUUAAAUUGAAUAUUCUAAAGUUCGCUGUGACUACAACUUUGUAUAAAAGUCGAAUUAUUUUAUACUACUCUUUUCAAUUUGGGUUGUUCUAUUUAAACUUUUUGAAAUUUA